rnacentral:rRNA from 1 species
AUUGAACGCUGGCGGCAUGCCUUACACAUGCAAGUCGAACGGCAGCACGGGGCAACCUGGUGGCGAGUGGCGAACGGGUGAGUAAUGCAUCGGAACGUACCUUUCAGUGGGGGAUAACGUAGCGAAAGUUACGCUAAUACCGCAUAUUCUGUGAGAAGGAAAGCGGGGGAUCGCAAGACCAUGAGCUGAUUGAGCGGCCGGUGUCAGAUUAGCUAGUUGGAGAGGUAAAGGCUCACCAAGGCGACGCUCUGUAGCGGGUCCGAGAGGAUGAUCCGCCACACUGGAACUGAGACACGGUCCAGACUCCUACGGGAGGCAGCAGUGGGGAAUUUUGGACAAUGGGGGCAACCCUGAUCCAGCCAUGCCGCGUGAGUGAAGAAGGCCUUCGGGUUGUAAAGCUCUUUCGGCCGGGAAGAAAUCGCACGGGCUAAUACCCUGUGUGGAUGACGGUACCGGAAUAAGAAGCACCGGCUAACUACGUGCCAGCCGCCGCAGUAA